AGCCGCGGUUAUUCCAGCUCUCAAAAUGCAUAGAACCAUUGCUGCGGUUAAAAAGCUCGUAGUUGGAUCUGUGCCGGCUCCCCGGUCCAUCGCAAGAUGCGCACUGGUGGCAGCCGGCUUUCCUGUGGCUCACAGCCCGGCGGCCCUCACGGACAGCCGGUGCCUGGGGCUACAACUUUACUUUGAACAAAUCAGAGUGCUCAAAACAGGCGUUUCGCUUGAAUGUUCGUGCAUGGAAUAAUAGAAGAGGAUUUCGGUUCAAUUUUAUUGGUUUUAUUGACUGAGAUAAUGGUUAACAGAGACAAACGGGGGCAUUAGUAUUGCCACGUGAGAGGUGAAAUUCUUGGACCGUGGCAAGACUGACUACAGCGAAAGCAUUUGCCAAGAAUGUCUUCAUUAAUCAAGAACGAAAGUCAGAGGUUCGAAGGCGAUCAGAUACCGCCCUAGUUCUAACCGUAAACGAUGCCAACUAGCGAUCCGCCGAUGGAAACACAAAUUGCCAUGGUGGGGAGCUUCCCGGAAACGAAAGUCUUCCGGUUCCGGGGGAAGUAUGGUUGCAAAGCUGAAACUUAAAGGAAUUGACGGAAGGGCACCACCAGGAGUGGAGCCUGCGGCUUAAUUUGACUCAACACGGGGAAACUCACCCGGCCCGGACACCGUAAGGAUUGACAGAUUGACAGCUUUUUCAUGAUUCGGUGGAUGGUGGUGCAUGGCCGUUCUUAGUUCGUGGAGCGAUCUGUCUGGUUUAUUCCGAUAACGAGCGAGACUCUGGCCUACUAACUAGUCCGCGCAUUGCCUCUGUGCCGUUGGACUUCUUAGAGGGAUUCGCGGUGUUCAGCCGCAAGAAAUGGAGCAAUAACAGGUCUGUGAUGCCCUUAGAUGUCCGGGGCUGCACGCGCGCUACACUGGCAGAAUCAGCUGGCUUGUCCUGCCCCGAAAGGGGCGGGUAAACCCGUGAAAAUCUGCCGUGAUUGGGAUCGGAAAUUGCAAUUAUUUUCCGUGAACGAGGAAUUCCAAGUAAGUGCGUGUCAUCAACACGCGUUGAUUACGUCCCUCCCCUUUGUA
rnacentral:rRNA from 1 species